rnacentral:rRNA from 1 species
GACGAACGCUGGCGGCGUGCCUAAUACAUGCAAGUAGGACGCACAGUCUAUACCGUAGCUUGCUACACCAUAGACUGUGAGUUGCGAACGGGUGAGUAACGCGUAGGUAACCUGCCUAUUAGAGGGGGAUAACUAUUGGAAACGAUAGCUAAUACCGCAUAACAGUACGUAACACAUGUUAGAUGCUUGAAAGAUGCAAUUGCAUCGCUAGUAGAUGGACCUGCGUUGUAUUAGCUAGUAGGUAGGGUAAUGGCCUACCUAGGCGACGAUACAUAGCCGACCUGAGAGGGUGAUCGGCCACACUGGGACUGAGACACGGCCCAGACUCCUACGGGAGGCAGCAGUAGGGAAUCUUCGGCAAUGGGGGGAACCCUGACCGAGCAACGCCGCGUGAGUGAAGAAGGUUUUCGGAUCGUAAAGCUCUGUUGUUAAGGAAGAACGAGUGUGAGAAUGGAAAGUUCAUACUGUGACGGUACUUAACCAGAAAGGGACGGCUAACUACGUGCCAGCAGCCGCGGUAAUACGUAGGUCCCGAGCGUUGUCCGGAUUUAUUGGGCGUAAAGCGAGCGCAGGCGGUUAGAAAAGUCUGAAGUGAAAGGCAGUGGCUCAACCAUUGUAGGCUUUGGAAACUGUUUAACUUGAGUGCAGAAGGGGAGAGUGGAAUUCCAUGUGUAGCGGUGAAAUGCGUAGAUAUAUGGAGGAACACCGGUGGCGAAAGCGGCUCUCUGGUCUGUAACUGACGCUGAGGCUCGAAAGCGUGGGGAGCGAACAGG